rnacentral:rRNA from 1 species
UGCGUAGGUGGCGUGGUAAGUCAGAUGUGAAAGCCCGGGGCUCAACCUCGGAAUUGCAUCCGAUACUGCCGUGCUGGAGUACUGAAGAGGUGACUAGAAUUCUCGGUGUAGCAGUGAAAUGCGUAGAUAUAUGGAAGAACACCAGUGGCGAAGGCGGCUGUCUGGUCUGUAACUGACGCUGAGGCUCGAAAGCAUGGUAGCGAACA